rnacentral:rRNA from 1 species
UACGUAGGGUGCGAGCGUUUAAUCGGAAUUACUGGGCGUAAAGCGUGCGCAGGCGGUUUUGCAAGCCGGAUGUGAAAUCCCCGGGCUUAACCUGGGAAUGGCAUUUGGGACUGCAAGGCUGGAGUGCGGCAGAGGAGACUGGAAUUCCUGGUGUAGCAGUGAAAUGCGUAGAUAUCAGGAGGAACACCGAUGGCGAAGGCAGGUCUCUGGGCUGACACUGACGCUCAUGCACGAAAGCGUGGGGAGCAAACAGG